GAUGAACGCUGGCGGCGUGCCUAAUACAUGCAAGUCGAGCGAACAGAUGCGGAGUUUGCUCCUCUCACGUUAGCGGAGGACGGGUGAGUCACACGUGGAUAACCUCCUUAUCAGACUGAGAUAACUGCGAGACACCGUAGAUAAUACCGGAUAAUGUAUUUAACCGCGUGGUUCAAUAGUGAAAGUCGGGUUUGCUGUGACUUCUCGAUGGAUCAGCUCCGCGUUAGCGUGUUGGCAAGGUAAAGCGUGACCAAGGCAUCGAGGCGUAGCCGGCCAGAGAGGGGGAUCGGCCAUGCUGGGACGUAGAGACGGUCCAGACUUCUACGGGAGCCAGCAGUCGGGAAUCUGGCGCAAUGGGCGAAUGCCUGACGGAGCAACGCCGCGUGAGGGAUGGAGGUCGUGGGAGCGUAAACCGCUGUUAUGAGGGAAGAACCAUUGUCUAAGGAACUAUGCACGUCGUGACGGUACCUAAUCAGGAAGCCCCGGCUAACUACGUG
rnacentral:rRNA from 1 species